rnacentral:lncRNA from 1 species
GCACCAUAACGUUGGAUGCCAAUGCCGAUAAACCCCACUGAAGAAGAAGAAUGGGUCUUCCAGGGCAGAAGAGUCGAGCUGCGUGGUUGUUCGCAUGAGGUUCCUUGAUUGGUGAAGCGUGUAGAGUUUAUCCAUAGUUCGGGGAAUGGAAAAUGGCGGAGAGUAGUGCGGACGAAAUUGAGGAAAAGUUGGUGAAGCAACAGCUGUGCUGGAAUGCGAACAAAGUGUCAGUUCUGAUGUCAUGGAGCGGGAGGACGAGGGUCAAGGACCGGAAUGGCCGGUAGUGGAAAGACAUAGGAAGAAGAGAGAUCAUGAUACAGAAAGCAGUGGAGCGUCUAGUAAAGAAAGCAUAAAGAGGACCAAGAAACAUUGCUCAGAUCUUGCCCCCUGGACCUUGGAGGACUUUUGGUGUGGAUGAUGAUCAGGGCCUACCAAAGCAAGUGUAAUUGGGAUGGACGGGGAAGACCGCAUUACAACCCUUCAAGUGCUACGGUUGUAUGAUGGCCUGGAUGAAGAGGAAAAUAUUCUCCUCAAGGAACCAUUCAUGUUGUCGUUACAGAGAGAUUAUGAGAUGUUCUAUGUGGAGGCAGUUGACGACAAGAAAAUUACUGUCUUUGCCCAUUUUGAAGAGCAGGAGUGAAGCAAUUUUAUAGGAGUGUUCAAACCUUAUUUUUGUCUGCUGUGUUAAUUGUGUUCUGUUGUUUAGUAAAGAUGACGUAGAAGUCACCCGAGUCUCUGAACUCUUUACUGGAGCUGGUAUAACUUAAUGUACAAAGCACAUUCAGCUUGUCCAUAUGGUAUAGUCUGUCUCCAUUCUCAUGAGGAAAGUAAAUGGCAUUAUAAAUCAGGAUAGGUAGUAACUGUGUGUGUAUGUGUAUAUAUACAUACACACACACACACACAAUUUUAACACUACAUGACAUGCAUAAGUCUGUUCACUGCAACAAUAUCAGUAGCUUGUCUCAAAUAAGUGUUACAACUCAUGUGCUGGUACCACUUUAUAUAAUAUUGCUUACAAUCUUCAAAAAUGAAAUACGUUUGUAUUCAACAUGUGCCUUGCACAAACAUGUGUGUUUGUCAAAGCUCACACAAAAAACGGUGGGUGGAGUCAACCAUUUGACCCCGCCCACAUUGAGCCUGGCCCCGACUUGCACACAGCAGUCAGGGGUACUUGGCUCUCAGGUAGGCUACUCAACAGAUGGCGCUAAAGAGCAAGUUGUAAUUUACUUGUAAAUAAAUAAUCAUGACAGUCAUUGGGAGCCUGGGACCUAAAUCUGACAACCACAUCAAAUAUUUAUAUCUUUAUCCACAUCCAUAAACAGUCAAAGGACUGAGGGAUACGCUAGAACCGUCUCGCGGAUCUGGUAGGACAAAAAAAAACAUGGCUCUGUGCCCAAUUUGUUUUCCCUGCCAGAUGAGGACUAGAAUGAGAAUGGAGACAGGAUGGAGACAGACUAUACCAUAUAGAC